UGAGAAGCCGCUCCUUAUGAGUAAUUUUGGCUAAGCAUAGAGAAGUCAUUUCGUCGUGAAUUUUCUCUAUGCUUUUAUUAUAUCA
rnacentral:antisense_RNA from 17 species